CAACCCUUUGGGGAUACCGGGGCGUUCCCCAACAGUAUCACAUUUUAAAUAUUGUGUAUGUACUAAGAUUGGCAAUUUGAUGAGAAUUUUAACUGUGAAACAGUGGUUACUGUCAAAUUUUAAUCAUGUUCCUUUUGUUUCCUGUUAGAAGAACAGCUGCAUUUCUCUAUAAGACAGAAAUAGGAGAUGAUAAAGUGAAUGUAGGUGGUAGAAGGAAGAAAAAGGAAAUAUGGGUUGUACAUAAAGCAAGAUAACUACGUUUAAUUUUCUUUUUUUUUUCUUUUCAUUUCUGAGAGUUGGUGUGCAAUACAUAGAUUUACUUGACAGAAUCACAAUUUUGCUGUUAUUAUGCCCCCUUGAUCAAAUUGAUUAACUUACUUGAUCAAAAUAAAAGAUGUAUUCUUUGAAUGUGCUAUAGAAUUUCUGGCCUUCAGGGAAGGCUUUAAACAGAUCAUAGCAACUCCAGCUGCAGAACAAGAAGUCACCUGACAAUGAAGUAUUUGCUAAAAUUUUUCUCUGGAAAAUUCAGUGCUUCUAAUUAGAAGACAUUAAACAAUGAACUGUAUUGGGGAAAUACCCUCCAAUGAUUAAUUGCCCUGAUUACAAGAAAUCAUUAUUCUUCGUUUCACUCUUGCUUAACAUCAAUCAUCAGCAUCUUUCACUAAUAUUAAGUGGCUUUUUCAUAUCUAGUGCUUUCUCUCACAGUAGGGUGUUAAGUACUUGAAUGUUUUUGAAGAGCUUUGUUUUGAUUAUUUAAAAAUAUCUGCAGUUUUAAAACAUUUAUUACAAAGCAACAGAUAUAAAUAAAAAUGUAUAAUGAAAAACUAUUUCAUCAUCACUCAGCAGAUGAUGGAAUCCAUCUCAAAAAGGACUUCUCUUCUUCAGUGUUGAUCAACAGUGAAUCUCAGGAAGUCUGCUCAAAGGGCUCUUCUCUUAUGACCCUUAUUUCUAAUUCCUCUGCAGCUACAGGACUUUGCACUAAUCCUUGUUGUACUUCAUGAGAUUCCUGUCAGCCCAUUUCUCCAGCCUGUUGCGGUCCCUCUGGCUGACAGCACUACUCUCUUGUGUACUACCACUCCAGGUUUUGUACUGUCUACAUGACUACUUGUCAAGUGUUGACUGACAGAUUCCCCAGUUAUUGUUAGUUGUGAAAAGUCAUCUACAUUUUUGGAUUUCUAUAUUAUUCUGCUUCUUCCCAAAUAUAAUAUAUAUAUAUAUAUAUAUAUGUAUAUAUUUACUGAAUACUUCAUUCUGGUCUUUAAUUGUUUCUGGUGUUAUCAUUGCUACCUCCAUCUGAUAAAGAUAUAACUGUUGCUAGACUUUUUUCCAAUAUGAUUUAAAGGUAGUUUUUUUUGUCUUUUGCUCUGACAACAGUUGGCUUUACCCAACAUAUUUCUUGUCCCUCAUCACUUCUGUAUGUCUCAUGACUUCUAAUCUAAUUUAAUAUCCAUUUUAUCUUUUCCUCAGUCUUUUGUUUCUAAUUAGUUCUUCUUACUGUUGCCUUAACUUUUCCAUUGAAAAGAGAAUGGACUUUUGGCCGAAGAUGGAUAAUAUAUACAUGGCAGUGAAAAAAAUUAGGGCAAAUAGAUACUAGUAAAAAGAUACAACUACUGCUGUAUUAGGCGAAUAACAGAGCACUCAGGUUGUAACGCGGAAGGCCCUUCCCCAUUUUGCUUGCUAUUGGUUGGCCUACUUACUUGAACCUGUGUCGUAAGACGGAGAGGCUGUACUUCUUUGUUUUAAUAACAAUGCAAAUGACCACUCUAUAUAUGGCUUUUCGGAAGUGCGUGGACAGAGCGGGAUAUUCAAUAUGAUUGGCCAGAAGCCCGCGUGAGCUUCUGGAACAGUCUAGUAAAAGAUAAGAAAUACUAUGUAGUUCUGUAGCUUUUACCAAGAAACGUCAUUUUGCUGCUCAUCAUAUUGAUGUGUAAAGUGCAGUUAUUGGCCAGGACCGGGUUUUGGUUCUCUGCGUGCAAGGGUAAUACGAAAGGGGUCGCCAGAGUUCGGUAACAGAGGAAAACUGGCAUGAAUAUAUUAAAUUCAAGAGUGUAAUCUGUACAAAACCAAUUUGAAUAGCCUGAAAUUUUUGUCAAGGUUGGAAAAACAGAAAGGACUGAAAGGGGAUGUGUGUGUAUGAAAGAUGAGGAAAGCCUAUGCCUUAAAGAUACUUUUGCAGGAAAUAUUGGAAAGGACACAUUAUCUGGAUUUGAGGACGGAUACUAGAGUUUAGGAUAAUACCCAGGUUUUUGGAUUUGACUAUACAGUUGAUAUUAAAAGGAAAUUUGCCAGAAGAGUAUAGGCUGAAGAAGUUAUUUCAGAGGAAAACAACAAGCACUGCUAAGUCAUGCUUAACUUAAACAGACCAGAACUAUCAGAAGAUCUGGCAGACAUUUCAAUUUGAAUAAAAGAGACAAAUCUAGUGGCAAAGAUGGAUCUUCACUUCCUAGCAAAGAGGUGACUGCUGAAUAUUUGCUUGCAGUAGACAUAAUAAAUAAUAUUAAUUAAAAAGAAGGCAGAGAGAAGAUGGGAUAAAAAUAUGGAUUUCUGGAUUCAAAUGUACAACUGCCAUUGACUUUCUUACUGAGAGGAAGAUGGCCAGGGCUGUUAUGCACCUGGUUUAGAAACUAGAACUAGGUGAGUGAGUGGACAUGUAAUAUUGUCAUUUCAUAUCUGGUUAGACAUCUAGGAUAAUUUUUCUGAGACAUUUACUAUUUCAUAAGGAACACUUCCAAAACAGCUGGUGAACAGUUACAGGCAGAGAAUUUGAGAAGCAUUACAAGUAGAAUUUUAUUAUUAAUUUCCUAGUAUUUGUUUGUGAUAUUAUUUCUGCCUUGAUCAUGGUUUAUGAUAAAAUUUAUCAAAUUAUAAUCUCAUUAUCAAAAUUAUGUAUUCUUUAGAAUGUGUAGAGCUGGGGGGGAUGCGGUUGGAUUCUGUUCUGCCAUCUUAUGUCAUAGUUCCAUGGGAGAGUCUGGUAAACACUGCUUUUCCUACUCCAAAAAAUAUUCUGCGUCCUUGAAAGAAAGAAGCAAGAUCUGAUGAUAGUGGACAGCAUGAUGGAUGAUUUCUGUAGCCAAUGGUGCAAAAUGAUGUAUAUGACUAAUUUUGUCUAAGCUACCCUUACCUGCUUCUGACAUUCAUUUGCAGCAAGGUACAGGUAAGUUUAAUUCCUGCAUUUGUACUGACAUGCUUUUGACUUACUACAUCCCACUCCACACAGGAGAUAACAUAUAUGUCUGAAUAUGAAAGGGAAUGAUUUUAAACUUGUUUUCCACAAGGUGCCUCUGAAUGCCUCUAGCAAGAAGUUUUGAUUUAUUUUCUAACAUAACUAUUGUACAGUAGGCAGAAAUGCCUUCCUAUUGUACAAUGGUUUUUGCAUGAGUAUACCUUCAGUGAACCAACUCAAACCUUUCUAGACUGCUGCUGAGGGAUAUGCCACAUCUUGAUGAAGCUGUUUCUUGAUAACUGAGGACGAAUGCUUACUGAUGUCAUUUAUUUCUCCAUGUCUUCAUACUGUGUGGUCUCAGCAUGCUGAGUUAUGCAUGGAUGUUUUUUUCCUUUGGUGGACAACAGAGUCCACCUCUGGAAAUCUUGUACAUAUGUAGCAAUGAAGAUAUGAGUCCACAUCUUCCCAUUUAUGGUUUUUGUAUUAGUUGUUGUUUUUUUUUCUCAAAUGUACAUCAUUCACAUUACCACUGGGAUGGUGUUCUCUUCCCUCCAACCUGACCUUUUUCCCAUGACCAUUCUCAAGUGAUAACUAUCAUUGGUGACUGCGAUGGAUGUGUCCAGUCAUGAUAGCUGCAUCUGCCUACAGAUAACAACACUUUUGCCAAGGCCUAAUUGAGGACUCACCAACAAAAAUAUGUCUAGUAUGCAAGUAUGACUCCCAGUUAAUCAUCUUACCCCGUAAAUAGAGGACAGCCCAGAGCACUUUGAGCUCUCCUGCAUGGCAGUAGGCUGCAUGCCAGUAGGCUGCAUGCCAGGAUCUUCCCUUGAGUGGGGAUACCUCUCAAGGUUUUGCCCUAAGGUUGAGAGAUUCCUUACCUAUGAGAGCUCCUUGGUGAGUUAAUAAUAGCUUGCUAAAACUUUACAAAACUUGCUAAAUUGUAACUAAGAUUGAUUGUGCAAAUAAACCUUUAGACAUAAACCACUGACCAUGUCAGGGACUAAGAAGGAGCCUGGAAAGCAAGGGGGUCCACUCUGAACCUCAUGACUUAAUGAGAGGGUCUCCCUGAGAGUUUCAUCCGACCAUGUCCUCUCUGCAGUAAAUAACUGAGUGAAUCUUGCCAUCAAAUCUAAUUAAACAGCUGAUUUAUUUGCUACAAAAUUUUGUUAAAUCACUGUCUUCUAUCACUAAAAUAUAUUGCUGCUUCUCUACUGUGUGAAAUGCAUCACUCACUUGUGACCCCAUUAGAGAUCCGAGUUUAGUGAUUAUGAUAUUACAGCUUUCCACAACUUCAUAAAAAUGCUGAGAUUAGAGAUUACAAUUAAGAAUGAAAUUCUGAAAUGCUAUUGCUGGGGCUAAAGUACAUUGCAGAAAGAAAACGAGUAGUAAGUUUUCUACAGCUGUUUCUUCUGUAUUAUAGUUGUGUAGAAAAGGCUUUAAGGAGAUGGAAGCUGUCAGAGAAAGAUGAAGAGAAUGGACUUAUGUUCAAGUUUUUCAGCUAUUCAUCUCUCAAGAUGACUGGCUGCCAAGCAGUUCUGAGUACACUUUACCUAAUAAAACUGACCUAAAUGAAGUGCAUAAGCUCAAAUAGAUCCACUUCCUUUUAUUUCAUUUAUCCAUAGUGGAUAGCAACAGACACUACCAUAAAACAGCAACAGCUUAGGUGAAAAGUAUUCUAAAUUUAGUUUCUUGAAGAAAGAUGAACAUCGCAGAUUUUUGUUUGUUUAGUUGGUUGUUUGGCUGCUUUUUUUGAUCCCAGACCUUCUAUCAGAUCCAAAAGAGUAAACUUCUGAUGGCAUGGUGCUAUCAGUUGAACUUUAUACAGAUAUGAAGACCCAACACAUUUUUCAAUGGCAGAAUUGUGUCUAUGGUUUAUAUUAAAAAAAUCACCUUUCACCUGAAAUAGAAUUCUUUGUAAGAAAUAAGCUGUAAAAAUUUUCAAUUUUCUGUUUAGGAUUUGAUAAAGACCCAUACGACUUCUCUAGUUAGUAUUUUUUUUUUUUUAAAGCUGAAAUAUCCAAGCACUUGCUAAAUAUUUUACAUCAAAACAUGUCAAUGGAAUAGCUCAGUAAUUCAGUUUAUUUCUUAUUCUGUAUGUUAGCAACAUUUUGUUGAACGUUGGAUCAAUUUCUAGUUACAUAGUACAACAUGUUUCAAAUUGGAUCUUUCCUGAAUUGUAUUGAAAAGUGUUGUUUAGAAAAGUGACAACAAAAAUAAUGCCAUCACAUUAUCACACCUUGGUACUAAAAAUAGAAGUCAUGGAAUGUUAAUUCAGUCAGCAUGUGUAUUAUUACUCUCUGCAUCAUGUUAUUUGAUCCACUGAAAGUGUAGAUACACUGCUCUUUAAGUAUAAUCAUGGAAUACAGGUUCAUUCCAUCCAUACUGUAGUACUAAGUGAAAAGAAUAUUUCUGAGGUGGUACUAAUUGCUGUACGCCCUUUUGGACACCCUUGGAUGUUAUAUGGGAGAAUGUCAGGGUAAAGCAAUUUAGUCUUCCUUUGUCAUGAUGAUGAAAUGGUAAAACAUUGCUUUAAUUUUCCUCUUUUUAGGUACAUAUUCUAGAACAAUAAUGUAUCCUGGUAGGCAGUAUAUACUUCAUGCAGUCAAGUUGCUAUUAAGGUGACUAUUUGAUCUGAAAAUAUAAAGAUAAAACUUCAUAGUGAUAUUAUGUCAUGAAAGCAAACGGCCUUUGUUUUAGGUGAAGCAUGUGAAGGAAUGAAAAUAAGCAGAUAAUUACAUUUUUUAGUAUUGGAUAUUUUUUGCUCAUGAGAAAUAUUCAACAGAAAAAUUAUUUGUCUUGAUAAGUACGAGUUUGCAAGUCACCUGAGAAUAUCUUGUUUAGGUUUUAGAAUAACUUCGUCUGCAGAAAGUAACUAUUUUAUCUGUAUUUCUUUGUAUCUUUGUAAUGGGUUUAAAAAUCUGAGUCAAUGCUGCAGCUGGUUGUGGGAACAGUUAAUAGUAGGUAGAAAUUUACUAAUUUUAGUCUUCUAUUUCAACAUGCAGACAAAUCUUUUAUUAUUGUCUGAUGAUUACUUACGUGAAUCAAUUAAUGACUGCUAGUAUUUUUUAAACUUUGUUUAAAAUUUGAAUUCUUGUAUUCAUAAGGAACAAUGUUAAUGAUUUUUUUACAGUUAAUGACAAGCCUUUGUUUAUUUUUAAACACCUUUUAGCUUUGUAAAUUAUAUCUAUCUCUGAUCACCAGAAAUGCUCAGAUGUUAGGAUCUAAUUUCUCUGUCCCGUUUAACUGAUACAAGGGAUAGAGGUAUGAAUCUCAGCCAUUUUAUUUCCCAAACAUUCUAUAGUUUUGUUCUUAAUAUGUGAUAAAUUCAAAGUUAAAGUCAUGACUAGAUAGAUUCUUUUUGCAUGAUUCCUGUAUAUGUUGCUGCAUAUAUGAUAUACAUAAAAUGAAAACAUAGAAUCAUUUUAUAUGUUUGCACCAAGAAUAAUAUGCAUGUGGAUAUAUGUAUAUAUGCAAAUAUAUAUUUAUGCAUAUAAAUAUAUGAAGGACACAUAUAUGUGUAUUUAUACACAUAUUUAUGUUUUAGGACAUGGCUAUAAUCAAAUUGAUUUUCAUUAUGAGCUCAGACAAAUUUUUUAUAAUCUUCACUGUGUAAGACAAAGUGAAUACUAACAACAUGAAAGCACACAAUUCAAAAACAAUUAAUGCUGUUGCUCACCCUAUAUUCAAUUAUGCUCUUUCAUUUAAUGCUCCCUAGAGUGACUAUCAUCCCUAUAUAAAUAAGUUGUUAUGCCACAGAAUUCAAUAGGAAGCCACAUACAAGGACAUGUACCAUCUUUAAUUAAUUAAUUCUUUCUGAUUAAAAACUCGUUCCAUUGAUCUUUGGUGCGCCAUGUACAGUUUGGAACACAGCUUUGAAAGAACAUAUUGCUAGAAGGAAGAAAAUCCAUUAAAUAAUUAAAAUAUAUAUUAAUAAAACAUAUCUUUGUUUUAUGGGAAUGUGAAAAAUAGGGUGUCAGAGCAAAGAGCAUUUAGAUUUUGAAAAGGGAAUGGAAAUGCUGACACCUGGAAGCUCCUGUUUUUUCAAUGAUACAGUAAUAAAUCACUUCACUUUCCUAUUAAAAAGAAGCUGCCACACCUGUAAAUCCACUGUGGGUACUAAAAUCAAAUCAUUUAUCUUCCUACAUAGAUAACAAAUCCAAUUAAGACACAUCAGACGGUGAUGCCUUAUUAAAAAGGCUCCAAUUUUACCUUGAAUAAUCACAAAUGGGUAUUUAUUUAAAAUACCAGGAAGUGAGGAGACAUUAAAAGACAACAACUAUAGAAGGAAGUCAGAGAAGAGAACAUGGACAGUUUAGGCCUCACUCUACAUACUUGUAUGAGAAAAAGGCAGUUGUAAUGCCCGAAAACAUCCCAUCACACUGAUGCCCAACAACUGUUUGCCUUUCUUAUGAGAUGUUAAGAAAAAAACCCUGUAAAUCUUUCUACCAGAGCAUAUAAGUAGGUAUUCAGCCUUAAGCUUCAGCAUGGUUUCCUCUUCAGUGGGAAUAUAUGAAAGCAGUAUUUUAAUGCUUUGUAGAGCUGAUGCACAACACUAUGCAUUAUUUCCACAUUACUGUGAUCUGCUGCUUUACAUGAUCCUUUACAAAGUUCAGAACAACAGCCAAUCACAAAAUAAACUUGUUGGUGUUACUGUAUAUAUCUCUAGGGAUAUCAAUUAAUCUGUGUAUCAUUUAGCAUUUGGUAUUAGUUUUAUUAAAUAUGCAGAUUUAUUAAUAUUUUACUGUGUCAUUUAGUUGGAUGUUUAAAAAAAGAUUUUAUGAAUCUAUUAUUUAAAUGAGAUAAAGGAUUAUAUGGUUCUUUAUGCAGAAAAUAUCUCUCAUCUCUCUUACUUUAUUAUCUCAUUUGGUUUUAGAUGAAGGAUGUCGGAUUGCAUAAUGAGGGAACGAGAUCUCAUUUUCACCAAGGCUGCUCAAAUUUAAUGCAUGGGCUUCAAGCUCCACUGUUCUUCUAAGUAAUAAGUCUCUAUAUGUAAUACUUUUUUGCUUGCAAAAUGUGGAAUAGCACAUUGUGAAGUUUCUAAUUCCAUGGUGAUCAAAUGCCUGGGCCUAUUAUUUGAAAAGUCUACACUAUAUUAUUUCUUUCUGUGUUAUAGCUUUUUCUUCCUAAAAAGAAGUGUGUUAUUCCUGAAGGAAAUAUGUGUGAUUGUCUUCCUCUAGAGCUUUUGGAAGACAGAAAAUACAUGUGGUCAAAGACUA